rnacentral:rRNA from 1 species
CGCUGGCGGCGUGCCUAAUACAUGCAAGUAGAACGCUGAAGAGAGGAGCUUGCUCUUCUUGGAUGAGUUGCGAACGGGUGAGUAACGCGUAGGUAACCUGCCUUGUAGCGGGGGAUAACUAUUGGAAACGAUAGCUAAUACCGCAUAACAAUGGAUGACACAUGUCAUUUAUUUGAAAGGGGCAAUUGCUCCACUACAAGAUGGACCUGCGUUGUAUUAGCUAGUAGGUGAGGUAACGGCUCACCUAGGCGACGAUACAUAGCCGACCUGAGAGGGUGAUCGGCCACACUGGGACUGAGACACGGCCCAGACUCCUACGGGAGGCAGCAGUAGGGAAUCUUCGGCAAUGGGGGCAACCCUGACCGAGCAACGCCGCGUGAGUGAAGAAGGUUUUCGGAUCGUAAAGCUCUGUUGUAAGUCAAGAACGAGUGUGAGAGUGGAAAGUUCACACUGUGACGGUAGCUUACCAGAAAGGGACGGCUAACUACGUGCCAGCAGCCGCGGUAAUACGUAGGUCCCGAGCGUUGUCCGGAUUUAUUGGGCGUAAAGCGAGCGCAGGCGGUUUGAUAAGUCUGAAGUUAAAGGCUGUGGCUCAACCAUAGUUCGCUUUGGAAACUGUCAAACUUGAGUGCAGAAGGGGAGAGUGGAAUUCCAUGUGUAGCGGUGAAAUGCGUAGAUAUAUGGAGGAACACCGGUGGCGAAAGCGGCUCUCUGGUCUGUAACUGACGCUGAGGCUCGAAAGCGUGGGGAGCGAACAGGAUUAGAUACCCUGGUAGUCCACGCCGUAAACGAUGAGUGCUAGGUGUUGGAUCCUUUCCGGGAUUCAGUGCCGCAGCUAACGCAUUAAGCACUCCGCCUGGGGAGUACGACCGCAAGGUUGAAACUCAAAGGAAUUGACGGGGGCCCGCACAAGCGGUGGAGCAUGUGGUUUAAUUCGAAGCAACGCGAAGAACCUUACCAGGUCUUGACAUCCCGAUGCUAUUUCUAGAGAUAGAAAGUUACUUCGGUACAUCGGUGACAGGUGGUGCAUGGUUGUCGUCAGCUCGUGUCGUGAGAUGUUGGGUUAAGUCCCGCAACGAGCGCAACCCCUAUUGUUAGUUGCCAUCAUUCAGUUGGGCACUCUAGCGAGACUGCCGGUAAUAAACCGGAGGAAGGUGGGGAUGACGUCAAAUCAUCAUGCCCCUUAUGACCUGGGCUACACACGUGCUACAAUGGUUGGUACAACGAGUUGCGAGUCGGUGACGGCAAGCUAAUCUCUUAAAGCCAAUCUCAGUUCGGAUUGUAGGCUGCAACUCGCCUACAUGAAGUCGGAAUCACUAGUAAUCGCGGAUCAGCACGCCGCGGUGAAUACGUUCCCGGGCCUUGUACACACCGCCCGUCACACCACGAGAGUUUGUAACACCCGAAGUCGAAGAGGUAACCUUUUGGAGCCAGCCGCCUAAGGUGGGAU